rnacentral:misc_RNA from 1 species
AGCAGCCGCGGUAAUUCCAGCUCCAAUAGCGUAUAUUAAAGUUGUUGCAGUUAAAAAGCUCGUAGUUGAAUUUCGGGGUUAGCAGGUCGGUCGUGCCAUCGGUAUGAACUGGUCUCGCUGAUCCCUCCCUCUUGACGAACUGUGAUGCCAUUAAUUUGGUGUCGCAGGGAAUCAGGACUGUUACUUUGAAGAAAUUAGAGUGUUUAAAGCAGGCUCACGCUUGAAUACAUUAGCAUGGAAUAAUGAAAUAGGACGUUUGAUCCUAUUUUGUUGGCUUCUAGGAUUGACGUAAUGAUUAAUAGGGAUAGUUGGGGGCAUUAGUAUUCAAUUGUCAGAGGUGAAAUUCUUGGAUUUAUUGAAGACUAACUACUGCGAAAGCAUUUGCCAAGGAUGUUUUCAUUAAUCAAGAACGAAAGUUAGGGGAUCGAAGACGAUCAGAUACCGUCGUAGUCUUAACCAUAAA